rnacentral:rRNA from 1 species
CCCGCCUGCCCUGUGACCAUGUGUUUAACGGCCGCGGUAUUUUGACCGUGCGAAGGUAGCGCAAUCACUUGUCUUUUAAAUGAAGACCUGUAUGAAUGGCAUAACGAGGGCUAAGCUGUCUCCUUUUUCCAGUCAAUGAAAUUGAUCUACCCGUGCAGAAGCGAGUAUAAAAACAUUAGACGAGAAGACCCUAUGGAGCUUAAGACACCAGGACAGCCUAUGUUAAAAACCCUCAGUAAAGAGACCAAACCAAACAGCCCCUGUCCCCCUGUCUUUGGUUGGGGCGACCGCGGGGUAAAAAACAACCCCCACGUGGAACAAGGACACCUCCUUUGAAGCCAGGGCCACAGCCCUAAUAAACAGAACAUCUGACCAGCAAGAUCCGGCACCGCCGAUCAACGGACCCAGUUACCCUAGGGAUAACAGCGCAAUCCUCUUAUAGAGCCCCUAUCGACAAGAGGGUUUACGACCUCGAUGUUGGAUCAGGACAUCCUAAUGGUGCAGCCGCUAUUAAGGGUUCGUUUGUUCAACGAUUAAAGUCCUACGUGAUCUG